rnacentral:rRNA from 1 species
UACGGAGGGUGCAAGCGUUAUCCGGAUUCACUGGGUUUAAAGGGUGCGUAGGUGGGUUGGUAAGUCAGUGGUGAAAUCUCCAAGCUUAACUUGGAAACUGCCGUUGAUACUAUCAAUCUUGAAUCUCGUGGAGGUAAGCGGAAUAUGUCAUGUAGCGGUGAAAUGCUUAGAUAUGACAUAGAACACCGAUAGCGAAGGCAGCUUGCUACACGAGUAUUGACACUGAGGCACGAAAGCGUGGGGAGCGAACGGG